UACGUAGGGCGCAAGCGUUGUCCGGAAUUAUUGGGCGUAAAGAGCUCGUAGGCGGCUUGUCACGUCGGGUGUGAAAGCCCGGGGCUUAACCCCGGGUCUGCAUUCGAUACGGGCUGGCUAGAGUGUGGUAGGGGGAGAUCGGAAUUCCUGGUGUAGCGGUGAAAUGCGCAGAUAUCAGGAGGAACACCGAUGGCGAAGGCAGGUCUCUGGGCAUAACUGACGCUGAGGAGCGAAAGCAUGGGGAGCGAACAGG
rnacentral:rRNA from 1 species